UGAGGAAGUGAACAUUUUAGGAUGUCCCGCCAUGGAUGGCGGGACAAGGGAGCGCUGAGCAGGAGCGAAUCGCGAGCGGUCCGUGAAGAAAUGUGAACUGACGAGGGUACCCGCGUUAG
rfam:Erwinia sp. EM595 isolate E_g_EM595 genome assembly, chromosome: 1